rnacentral:rRNA from 1 species
UACAGAGGGGGCAAGCGUUAUUCGGAAUUAUUGGGCGUAAAGGGCGCGUAGGCGGGUUCGCAAGUCUGUGGUGAAAGCCUCCAGCUUAACUGGAGAAGUGCCAUGGAUACUGCGCAUCUUGAGGAGGGUAGGGGCGUCUGGAACGGUCGGUGGAGCGGUGAAAUGCGUUGAUAUCGACCGGAACUCCGGUGGCGAAGGCGAGGCGCUGGACCCUUUCUGACGCUGAGGCGCGAAAGCCAGGGGAGCAAACGGG